CCUACGGGUGGCUGCAGUGGGGAAUAUUGGACAAUGGGCGAAAGCCUGAUCCAGCCAUGCCGCGUGUGUGAAGAAGGCCUUCGGGUUGUAAAGCACUUUCAGUGGGGAAGAAAGCCUUGGGGCUAAUACCCUCGAGGAAGGACAUCACCCACAGAAGAAGCACCGGCUAACUCCGUGCCAGCAGCCGCGGUAAUACGGAGGGUGCGAGCGUUAAUCGGAAUUACUGGGCGUAAAGCGCGCGUAGGCGGUCUGAUAAGCCGGUUGUGAAAGCCCCGGGCUCAACCUGGGAACGGCAUCCGGAACUGUCAGGCUAGAGUGAAGGAGAGGAAGGUAGAAUUCCCGGUGUAGCGGUGAAAUGCGUGGAGAUCGGGAGGAAUACCAGUGGCGAAGGCGGCCUUCUGGACUGACACUGACGCUGAGGUGCGAAAGCGUGGGUAGCAAACAGGAUUAGAUACCCGGGUAGUC
rnacentral:rRNA from 1 species